GUCCCUGUAAUGUUGAUAGAACAGACAGGGACAUCAAAACCCCAUCAGGGUGUGAUGAUUUGUCGAUGGGAAUCUCUCUGAUGGGAA